GGAGGCUUUAGCUUAAUUAAAGUGUUUGAGUUGCAUUCAGAAGAUAUGGUGUAGUUGUCCAUAAGUCUUA
rnacentral:tRNA from 1 species